GCUUUUAGAAAUAAAAAUCUCUUAGCAUGUCCUAUCAACAAUCCCCGAGCAUGAAGUUUACAAUAAACUAACGUACAUAAAGAGAAAAUCUAAAAUAUUGACAAAAUUCAAAUCGAAGAAUUUUUCAGCAUCUUCAACGAGGAUUACCACUUGCAUGGGCUGCACACCGGUAGGUUGUAUGAGAAUAGGCUUAACAACAUCUUCUUAAAAAAAGAUCACGCAUUGUCCUAGAUGCAGGGC
rnacentral:lncRNA from 1 species